rnacentral:rRNA from 1 species
CACUCCUACGGGAGGCAGCAGUGGGGAAUUUUGGACAAUGGGCGAAAGCCUGAUCCAGCAAUGCCGCGUGAGUGAAGAAGGCCUUCGGGUUGUAAAGCUCUUUUGUCAGGGAAGAAACGGUGAAAGCUAAUAUCUUUUGCUAAUGACGGUACCUGAAGAAUAAGCACCGGCUAACUACGUGCCAGCAGCCGCGGUAAUACGUAGGGUGCAAGCGUUAAUCGGAAUUACUGGGCGUAAAGCGUGCGCAGGCGGUUUUGUAAGUCUGAUGUGAAAUCCCCGGGCUCAACCUGGGAAUUGCAUUGGAGACUGCAAGGCUAGAAUCUGGCAGAGGGGGGUAGAAUUCCACGUGUAGCAGUGAAAUGCGUAGAUAUGUGGAGGAACACCGAUGGCGAAGGCAGCCCCCUGGGUCAAGAUUGACGCUCAUGCACGAAAGCGUGGGGAGCAAACAGGAUUAGAUACCCGUGUAGUCCA